UCCGCGCCUCCCAGUCCCGCCCAACUGCGGACACCUCCAGGGUCGGGAGGAGACAGGUGAACUCUACCUCGGCCCCGACUCCCCAGUACCGGAGCGUCUGGACGUGGGGCAGAGUACCCCCACCCUCACUGACGGCGGAGAAUCAGGAGUCCCUGUCCAGACCGGUGCAGAGUUCAGCAAGCCUCUCCUAGCCAGCGACACGUAGAAGAACUCUGAAACGGCGGUUUCAGGUGAAGAGUCAGACACAUCUGAGUUGCACUCCCAGCCCCAGCUGUGAGACACUGGGCAAAUCACGUCUCUCCAUGGAGCCUGUGUCCUUAGUUGUCAUCAAUGGGAAUACAAUCAUCACCGUCCCUGGCUCCUAAGGCUGGAUGAGGAAGCAGAGGCUCAAAGGGGUGACGUGACUACUGCAAGGGUGCAGUGCUGGUCAAGAGCAGGCCCAGGUCCAUCUGCCUUCAGAGCCUGGGCUCCCAAACACUGCUCUGGGGUCAGCUACAUAUGGCUGCGAUGAGACAGAGGGAAAGGGAGCCUUCCUUUGGCUUCUGGGAGAGCACUCAAGACCUGUGCGUCCCAGGACAGGCUCCACCAUAUCCCAGCUGUGUGACCCUAGGACACGCUCUGAACCUGAGACCUGGGGUCUUCACCGUGAAGUGAGGCUGUUGCGGGGACCAGACGAGUCUUGCACAGGGGAUGCGCAGCACGGGGCUUGGCAUCCAUUCCUUCCACAAUGAAGCAGCAAGCCCCUACUGUGUGCCAAGCACUGUUUGCAGCAGUGAAGGGGAAGAACAAUGUCUCUGCCCUCCUGGAGCAGACACAGAACUUGUAAAUAAAUAACAAAUGAGAUAAUUUCAGAGUGGUAAGCAUUCUAUAGAAAAUAAAGUGAUAUGAUGAAGUGAGGGGAGGGGACUGCUUCAGAUGGGGUGGUCAGGGAAGGCCUCUCUGAGGAGGUGACAUUUGAGCACAGAUGUGAAUGACAAGGAAAUGACCAUGUAAUUGUAAAUACAAUAAAUGACCAUGUAAAUGACCUGGGGACAGAGUGCUGUUCCCAAAGACAGGAAGAAGGUCAACACAUUAUAUUGAGAUGAAGAAUGGAAGUUUCUAGGCAGAAGUUGGCAGGGCCUCAUAGACUGUCGGAAGAACUCAGUAAGUGGUAGCUAUUGCCAGUAUUUUUCUCCAGUUGCGAGCUGGUGACAAAAAUGCCACACUAUGGUCUGGAAACCGGCAUCCAUUCUCAGCUAAUCUGGAUGCCCAGUGCUCUCUCCAGUGCUGUAAAGGCCCAGGGUCAUCCAGGCACCGAGUGGCAGAGCAGGUGAGCUCCCCAGCUGGGCAGAGGCCAGGAGAAUCUGAUCCCCUCCCCUAUGCCCCUCCCCCAACCUUGGCACCACUGACUUUUACUGACCUGGGGCUGGGGGUCCCUGGGACCCUGGGGAAGCCAUGGAAACAGCUGGCAGGCCUGGAAAGGCCUGGAAAAAAAUCACUGAGGUAUGGGGAGCUCAUCCCCAUCCCCUCCUCUUUCUGCAGGAAUUCCAAGAGCUCAGCAUGAGGCUUCCCUCUUGACAAGGCCAUGGUUCUGAGUAGGCCCCCGGCCUCCCACACCCUCCACACCCUCUCUCUGCCACUGGGAGCCCUGGACUGAGAUAUAGUGGCACAAGGAAGGCUG
ensembl:lncRNA